rnacentral:rRNA from 1 species
GUACACUCCUACGGGAGGCAGCAGUGGGGAAUAUUGGACAAUGGGCGCAAGCCUGAUCCAGCCAUGCCGCGUGAGUGAUGAAGGCCCUAGGGUUGUAAAGCUCUUUCACCGGUGAAGAUAAUGACGGUAACCGGAGAAGAAGCCCCGGCUAACUUCGUGCCAGCAGCCGCGGUAAUACGAAGGGGGCUAGCGUUGUUCGGAUUUACUGGGCGUAAAGCGCACGUAGGCGGACUAUUAAGUCAGGGGUGAAAUCCCGGGGCUCAACCCCGGAACUGCCUUUGAUACUGGUAGUCUUGAGUUCGAGAGAGGUGAGUGGAAUUCCGAGUGUAGAGGUGAAAUUCGUAGAUAUUCGGAGGAACACCAGUGGCGAAGGCGGCUCACUGGCUCGAUACUGACGCUGAGGUGCGAAAGCGUGGGGAGCAAACAGGAUUAGAUACCCCGGUAGUCCCAU